rnacentral:lncRNA from 1 species
AUAUCCUUCCAUCUCUUUUAUCUUCAUGUCACAUGCAUCUUGAUUUUUUCUCCCUAACUUUUGGAGAUUUCACAUUGCUCUGAUUGGUUCCUUUUUAUAUAUGUGUGUUGUCAACUUUGUUCAUGGAACCAAUGACUAUAUGCUUUUAUUAUUGUUGUUUGAUUUAUUUUGUGAUCACUUGGACAACAACACAAGUAUCUAGCCAUGAAGCUCCAACAAGUAAAAGAUUGAAUUUGAAGGUGAUGACAGCCAUGUAAGUGUUGUCCUUAUGCUUAAAAGGUGGCUGCUAUGUUAUCAUGUAUAUUACCAUUUAUCUAUUAUCUAUUAAAGUGUCCUAAAACCUCUUAUUGUGCUGUCAAAUUUGAUCAUGGAACCAAUGACUAUAUGCUUUUAGUGCUGUCGGUCGAUUUAUGCUAUGUGAAAUUUAGUUAUUUUAUUCAUCUCUUCAUGUCAUUUUGCUGAUGAGAUGUGGGUUAUUAGGUGUCUUUUUUGUGCAGGUUGUGUGAUAGAUGUCGAAAGCAUACAAUGAAGUGGUGAAAAACAUGGUUUGAGAGGACACGAGUUAAAU